GCUUGCUUGUUGGGGUUGUAGGACACUCUAUACGGAGUUACAAAGGACGACAUUAGACGAAUCAUCUGGAAAGAUGAAUCAAAGAAGGUAAUAAUCCUGUAGUCGAAAAUGUUGUCUCUCUUGAGUGGAUCCUGAGUACGACGGAGCACGUGAAAUUCCGUCGGAAUCUGGGAGGACCAUCUCCUAAGGCUAAAUACUCUCUAGUGACCGAUAGUGAACCAGUACCGUGAGGGAAAGGUGAAAAGCACCCCGGAAGGGGAGUGAAAUAGAACCUGAAACCGUGUGCUUACAAGUAGUCAGAGCCCGUUAAUGGGUGAUGGCGUGCCUUUUGUAGAAUGAACCGGCGAGUUACGAUUUGAUGCAAGGUUAAGCAGUAAAUGUGGAGCCGUAGCGAAAGCGAGUCUGAAUAGGGCGUUUAGUAUUUGGUCGUAGACCCGAAACCAGGUGAUCUACCCUUGGUCAGGUUGAAGUUCAGGUAACACUGAAUGGAGGACCGAACCGACUUACGUUGAAAAGUGAGCGGAUGAACUGAGGGUAGCGGAGAAAUUCCAAUCGAACCUGGAGAUAGCUGGUUCUCUCCGAAAUAGCUUUAGGGCUAGCCUCAAGUGAUGAUUAUUGGAGGUAGAGCACUGUUUGGACGAGGGGCCCCUCUCGGGUUACCGAAUUCAGACAAACUCCGAAUGCCAAUUAAUUUAACUUGGGAGUCAGAACAUGGGUGAUAAGGUCCGUGUUCGAAAGGGAAACAGCCCAGACCACCAGCUAAGGUCCCAAAAUAUAUGUUAAGUGGAAAAGGAUGUGGCGUUGCCCAGACAACUAGGAUGUUGGCUUAGAAGCAGCCAUCAUUUAAAGAGUGCGUAAUAGCUCACUAGUCGAGUGACACUGCGCCGAAAAUGUACCGGGGCUAAACAUAUUACCGAAGCUGUGGAUUGUCCUUUGGACAAUGGUAGGAGAGCGUUCUAAGGGCGUUGAAGCAUGAUCGUAAGGACAUGUGGAGCGCUUAGAAGUGAGAAUGCCGGUGUGAGUAGCGAAAGACGGGUGAGAAUCCCGUCCACCGAUUGACUAAGGUUUCCAGAGGAAGGCUCGUCCGCUCUGGGUUAGUCGGGUCCUAAGCUGAGGCCGACAGGCGUAGGCGAUGGAUAACAGGUUGAUAUUCCUGUACCACCUAUAAUCGUUUUAAUCGAUGGGGGGACGCAGUAGGAUAGGCGAAGCGUGCGAUUGGAUUGCACGUCUAAGCAGUAAGGCUGAGUAUUAGGCAAAUCCGGUACUCGUUAAGGCUGAGCUGUGAUGGGGAGAAGACAUUGUGUCUUCGAGUCGUUGAUUUCACACUGCCGAGAAAAGCCUCUAGAUAGAAAAUAGGUGCCCGUACCGCAAACCGACACAGGUAGUCAAGAUGAGAAUUCUAAGGUGAGCGAGCGAACUCUCGUUAAGGAACUCGGCAAAAUGACCCCGUAACUUCGGGAGAAGGGGUGCUCUUUAGGGUUAACGCCCAGAAGAGCCGCAGUGAAUAGGCCCAAGCGACUGUUUAUCAAAAACACAGGUCUCUGCUAAACCGUAAGGUGAUGUAUAGGGGCUGACGCCUGCCCGGUGCUGGAAGGUUAAGAGGAGUGGUUAGCUUCUGCGAAGCUACGAAUCGAAGCCCCAGUAAACGGCGGCCGUAACUAUAACGGUCCUAAGGUAGCGAAAUUCCUUGUCGGGUAAGUUCCGACCCGCACGAAAGGCGUAACGAUUUGGGCACUGUCUCAACGAGAGACUCGGUGAAAUCAUAGUACCUGUGAAGAUGCAGGUUACCCGCGACAGGACGGAAAGACCCCGUGGAGCUUUACUGUAGCCUGAUAUUGAAAUUCGGCACAGCUUGUACAGGAUAGGUAGGAGCCUUUGAAACGU
rnacentral:rRNA from 1 species